GAUGAACGCUGGCGGCGUGCCUAAUACAUGCAAGUCGAGCGAAUGGAUUAAGAGCUUGCUCUUAUGAAGUUAGCGGCGGACGGGUGAGUAACACGUGGGUAACCUGCCCAUAAGACUGGGAUAACUCCGGGAGACCGGGGCUAAUACCGGAUAACAUUUUGAACCGCAUGGUUCGAAAUUGAAAGGCGGCUUCGGCUUGCACUUAUGGAUGGACUCGCGUCGCAUUAGCUAGUUGGUGAGGUAACGGCUAACCAAGGCAACGAUGCGUAGCCGACCUGAGAGGGUGAUCGGCCACACUGGGACUGAGACACGGCCCAGACUCCUACGGGAGGCAGCAGUAGGGAAUCUUCCGCAAUGGACGAAAGUCUGACGGAGCAACGCCGCGUGAGUGAUGAAGGCUUUCGGGUCGUAAACUCUGUUGUUAGGGAAGAACAAGUGCUAGUUGAAUAAGCUGGCACCUUGACGGUACCUAACCAGAAAGCCACGGCUAACUACGUGCCAGCCGCCGCGGUAA
rnacentral:rRNA from 1 species